AGUGAACGCUGGCGGUAGGCCUAACACAUGCAAGUCGAACGGCAGCACAGUAAGAGCUUGCUCUUACGGGUGGCGAGUGGCGGACGGGUGAGGAAUACAUCGGAAUCUACUUUUUCGUGGGGGAUAACGUAGGGAAACUUACGCUAAUACCGCAUACGACCUACGGGUGAAAGUAGGGGAUCUUCGGACCUUGCGCGAUUGAAUGAGCCGAUGUCGGAUUAGCUAGUUGGCGGGGUAAAGGCCCACCAAGGCGACGAUCCGUAGCUGGUCUGAGAGGAUGGUCAGCCACACUGGAACUGGGACACGGUCCAGGCUCCUACGGGAGGCAGCAGUGGGGAAUAUUAGACAAUGGGCGCAAGCCUGAUCCAGCCAUACCGCGUGGGUGAAGAAGGCCUUCGGGUUGUAAAGCCCUUUUGUUGGGAAAGAAAAGCAGCAGGUUAAUACCCCGCUGUUCUGACGGUACCCAAAGAAUAAGCACCGGCUAACUUCGUG
rnacentral:rRNA from 1 species